rnacentral:ncRNA from 1 species
GGGAGCCGGAUGAAUUGAGAAGUUCAAGUCCGGUUCUGCGAGAGGCUGGUGGGGAAGUGCCACCAGUCUACUCUCC